rnacentral:snoRNA from 1 species
AAACCGUGGUGUGGGCACUGUCUCUGCAGAUCCUUGAACCUUUCCCGGGCUUCAAACAAGCUCUCGUCUGCCUGUUGGGUAAUGGAAUUAUCUGACCCC